rnacentral:rRNA from 1 species
AGCAGUCGCCGCGGUAAUACGAAGGGUGCAAGCGUUACUCGGAAUUACUGGGCGUAAAGCGUGCGUAGGUGGUGGUUUAAGUCCGUUGUGAAAGCCCUGGGCUCAACCUGGGAAUUGCAGUGGAUACUGGAUCACUAGAGUGUGGUAGAGGAUAGUGGAAUUUCCGGUGUAGCAGUGAAAUGCGUAGAGAUCGGAAGGAACAUCUGUGGCGAAGGCGACUAUCUGGGCCAACACUGACACUGAGGCACGAAAGCGUGGGGAGCAAACAGGAUUAGAGACCCCGGUAGUCCCUGUCUCUUAUAU